rnacentral:piRNA from 1 species
GCCUGAAUUUGAAAGGGUGGAUGAA